CUGGAAGGGGGGUGGCGAUGACGUCAAGUCAUCAUGGCCCUUACGGCCUGUGCUACACACGUGCUACAAUGGUCGGUACAGAGGGUUGCGAAGCCGCGAGGUGGAGCUAAUCUCACAAAACCGAUCGUGGUCCGGAUCGCAGUCUGCAACUCGACUGCGUGAAGUCGGAAUCGCUAGUAAUCGCAAAUCAGAAUGUUGCGGUGAAUACGUUCCCGGGCCUUGUACCACACCGCCCGUCACACCAUGGGAGUGGGUUGCCCCAGAAGUAGCU
rnacentral:rRNA from 1 species